rnacentral:lncRNA from 1 species
UGCUACAGCUUUCUCUCCUUGUUGCUGAGACUGACUGGGAAGCUUGCCUGUUCAUCUGCUGGAAAGGAGAACCUCAGGGCUUCCUUCUUAGACUCCCUCCUUGCAGAGUAUGAGCAGGUGCAGGCUGAAAUACCAGCGGCCACGAGAGAGGGAGAAAAACAAAGCGCUCCGGGCGCCGUGCAAGGCUUGGCUCACCAUGCAGGUGAGCUUGGUCCCCAGGCCUCCCAUUGGUGCCGCAGCCCAGCUCCUGCUUCCUGCGUCCCUCAGGUGGGCAGCCAGGCCUCCAGAUCUCUGACCCUCUCCUUUCUGCUGGGACGAUCUGGCCCUGCCACACAGUGGAGGGAGCACAGCCCUGUGGCAAGUUUGAGUUGCUGUUCCACUUGGGAAGAGCAGAGGGAUGUGGGCUGUCCUACUCCAGCUCCGAGCCCCUCUCUCCUCGUCUCCAAGUGGGAAGAGAACGGGAAACCCAGCAGAGUCGGGGGAGGAGGGGGAGGUGCGCAGAUGGGGUGUGUAGUACCCAGGCCGAGUCUGCUCCCCAGCCUGGGGGUGGCUGAGGGUCUGGACCCUACAUCCUAGUUCAGGUCUUUCUGUGCCUCCUUUUACCCAUGUCUGAAGACAGAUGCUCCCCUCUGCGGCUCACUCCUCCUCCUGCGUCUGUCUACUGGGGUCCCCAGGGAGCAGCUCUGGGGUGCCCCACACCACACUCUGGGGGGCCACGCAGUGGGCAGGAAUCUGGGGGCUGUCCUGCUUUCCACCGAGAGUGUGCAC